rnacentral:snoRNA from 1 species
CCUAGAGGCACUGCAGGUGUGGCUGUAGUGUCACACGUGUGUCAGUAGAGAAGAGACCACCAGAACAGU